rnacentral:rRNA from 1 species
GUAGGUGGCAAGCGUUGUCCGGAAUUAUUGGGCGUAAAGCGCGCGCAGGCGGUCCUUUAAGUCUGAUGUGAAAGCCCACGGCUCAACCGUGGAGGGUCAUUGGAAACUGGGGGACUUGAGUACAGAAGAGGAAAGCGGAAUUCCAAGUGUAGCGGUGAAAUGCGUAGAGAUUUGGAGGAACACCAGUGGCGAAGGCGGCUUUCUGGUCUGUAACUGACGCUGAGGCGCGAAAGCGUGGGGAGCAAACAGGAUUAGAUACCCUGGUAGUCCACGCCGUAAACGAUGAGUGCUAAGUGUUAGGGGGUUUCCCGCCCCCUUAGUGCUGCAGCUAACGCAUUAAGCACUCCGCCUGGGGGGUACGGCCGCAAGGCUG